CGCGGCCGGGCCGGGCGCCCCGAGCCGCCCCGGCGGGCGCUGCCCAGGCGCGCCCCGCCCGCCGCGCCCCGACGGCGAACGGAGCGGAGCGGAGCCGAGCGGGAUUACCGAGGCAGCAGCAGCAGCAGAGGUACCAGUGCCCCCCAAGAACACUUUGCCCUCACUAUUUGCAGUGCCAGAAUGAAAACACACCACGGUCUGUCUGGCCCAGCAAACCCUGCCGAGGUGCAGUCCAGCAGAGAUGCAUUGAAACCUGCAGAAAAUCCUUCAUUACCUGGAGACCUGCAUGUGAGCAGCUUGGUGUGUGCUCCGAGUGAAAGAGAGAUGUUUGAUUUCAUCAGGUCAAAGUCAGCCUAAAUACAAUCAUCUGAUUACAGCUUAGUAACUUAGAAAGAAGCCUCACUCGUCACAGGUGCUAAAAUUCAGAAAAUGCUAACCCACAAAUUCCGUGCAUUCCUGCGUUCAGGUGGCUUUGUUAGAUGAUAUCAAAAUUAUAAUUUAAUUCCAUUAUUUUCACAACAGAAUGUGUUACAGUGUAAUGCAUGUUGCACAUUGCCCUGGGGCGCAGCUGGUUUGAGUUAGAGGAGUAUCUCUGAAAUCUCAUCUGCCAGCAAUUCCCACCCAAGCCCCCAGCGCAUACCAAUGCUGCUUUAGCUCUUGUAAACACAGGGUGAUGACUAUGCAGUGUUUAUCUCCGUGGGAUCGAUAAGGAUUGUUUCACGGGUGCUGCUGGCAUGAGUAAAUGUUAAGAGCCCUGUGCUCCCGCAGAGCAUUCCUGAGUUUUACAGAUGUGGUCUGGGCUGCAUCCCAGCUCUGGAGCAGCACCGUGCUGAGUGAAGUCUCUCACAGUGGGACAGUCGAGCCAGGAAUGACACAACUGGUUUUGGCUGAGGAAAACCCAUCCUUAGUCUGCUCUGUGUCCUGCAGGAGUAUGCAUAAAAGGGUGGGAGUUUGAAACUGAGGUGUAGCUCACUUCAGUCUUUUUAAAACAUCUGUACCACUUGCUUAACCACAGAUUCCUUCUUUAUAUAUAUAUAUAUAUAUAUAUAUAUAUAUAUAAAUACUUACAGCCUAAAAUUCAAGCUAGUUCAUCUGUUCUUGAUGGCUAAAAGAAAUUGCUGAGUGAACCCUGACUUCUGUGAAGUGCUGCAUGGUGGGAGAACAGCUGGAGAAGUUGGUUUUCAACAUUUCUGGCCCUUUAGACUCACAGCUUAAACCUGAGAGCUGGAGUUAUUCUCCAGUUGUCGGUUACAUUAAUGAAAAAUGCGUGAAACCCCCUAUAAGCAUAAGAAAACGUGCCUUGCAGGAGCGGCAAUGCCCGAUAGAAGAUUUUUAAGUUGUUUUCUGCGUUGAGCAUCCGAGCACUGCCAUCCAGCGGGCUCCGGGGAAUCGGCUGUGCCGCCCACCGCCCGGCGGGAGCUGCUGCCCGCCGCAUCUCCAGGGAGAGCAGCGGCACCCUCCCACCGCCAGGGCUCUGGUGGGGAUCCGCUCUGCCUCAGGGGGAGACGGGGCUGGAGCAGUGACGAUGCCUGCGCUGCCGCUGGUUGGCAGCGGGCGGCUGCGGGAGCCCGCAGGGCUUGAUCGGCAUCGCCCCGUCCGAGUCUGGGCAGCCCGUGCAGGUCAUGGCACAGCCACGGAUUUUAGGGGGUGGCAGAAGACACGGGGUGU